rnacentral:rRNA from 1 species
CCCCUAGACGUUCUGGGCUGCACGCGCGCUACAAUAAUACGCACAGCGAGUAUCACCGAGCUCGAAAGGGCAAGGUAAACAAUAGAAAAGGUACUGUAAUGGUUAUAGAUCCUUGUAAUUAUUGAUCUUCAACGAGGAAUUCCUAGUAAGUAUGUGUCAUCAUCACGCACUGAUUACGUCCCUGCCCUUUGUACACACCGCCCGUCGCUCCUACCGAUUGGGUGAGCCGAUGAAACUCUCGGAUGUAGGCUAUUCAUAGCCCUCAGAAGAGAUUUGAAUCGUAGCGCUUAGAGGAAGGAGAAGUCGUAACA